GGGGCUGAUUCUGGAUUCGACGGGAUUUGCGAAACCCAAGGUGCAUGCCGAGGGGCGGUUGGCCUCGUAAAAAGCCGCAAAAAAAUAGUCGCAAACGACGAAACCUACGCUUUAGCAGCUUAAUAACCUGCUUAGAGCCCUCUCUCCCUAGCCUCCGCUCUUAGGACGGGGAUCAAGAGAGGUCAAACCCAAAAGAGAUCGCGCAGAUGCCCUGCCUGGGGUUGAAGCGUUAAAACGAAUCAGGCUAGUCUGGUAGUGGCGUGUCCGUCCGCAGGUGCCAGGCGAAUGUAAAGACUGACUAAGCAUGUAGUACCGAGGAUGUAGGAAUUUCGGACGCGGGUUCAACUCCCGCCAGCUCCACCA
rnacentral:tmRNA from 10 species